UACGAAGGGGGCUAGCGUUGCUCGGAAUUACUGGGCGUAAAGGGCGCGUAGGCGGACAGUUAAGUCGGGGGGUGAAAGCCCGGGGCUCAACCUCGGAAUUGCCUUCGAUACUGGCUGUCUUGAGUAUGGGAGAGGUGUGUGGAACUCCGAGUGUAGAGGUGAAAUUCGUAGAUAUUCGGAAGAACACCAGUGGCGAAGGCGACACACUGGCCCAUUACUGACGCUGAUGCGCGAAAGCGUGGGGAGCAAACAGG
rnacentral:rRNA from 1 species